UACGGGGGGAGCAAGCGUUGUCCGGAAUUAUUGGGCGUAAAGAGCUCGUAGGCGGUGUGUCGCGUCGGCCGUGAAAACCUGGGGCUCAACUCUGGGCGUGCGGUCGAUACGGGCAUCACUAGAGUUCGGCAGGGGAGACUGGAAUUCCUGGUGUAGCGGUGAAAUGCGCAGAUAUCAGGAGGAACACCGGUGGCGAAGGCGGGUCUCUGGGCCGAUACUGACGCUGAGGAGCGAAAGCAUGGGUAGCGAACAGG
rnacentral:rRNA from 1 species